GUUUCCUCGUAUGACGCGGGCUGGACCUCUCGGGGUUACAGCCUUGCUGAAUUAUUCACCCUUGUCUUUUGCGUACUUCUUGUUUCCUUGGUGGGUUCGCCCACCACUAGGACAAACAUAAACCUUUUGUAAUUGCAAUCAGCGUCAGUAACAAAUUAAUAAUUACAACUUUCAACAACGGAUCUCUUGGUUCUGGCAUCGAUGAAGAACGCAGCGAAAUGCGAUAAGUAGUGUGAAUUGCAGAAUUCAGUGAAUCAUCGAAUCUUUGAACGCACAUUGCGCCCUUUGGUAUUCCAAAGGGCAUGCCUGUUCGAGCGUCAUUUGUACCCUCAAGCUUUGCUUGGUGUUGGGCGUCUUGUCUCUAGCUUUGCUGGAGACUCGCCUUAAAGUAAUUGGCAGCCGGCCUACUGGUUUCGGAGCGCAGCACAAGUCGCACUCUCUAUCAGCAAAGGUCUAGCAUCCAUUAAGCCUUUUUUUCAACUUUUGACCUCGGAUCAGGUAGGGAUACCCGCUGAACUUAAGCAUAGAAACGGGGGGAGAGAGAAA
rnacentral:rRNA from 1 species